UACAGAGGUCCCAAGCGUUGUUCGGAUUCACUGGGUUUAAAGGGUGCGUAGGUGGGCAGGUAAGUCAGUGGUGAAAUCUCCGGGCUUAACCCGGAAACUGCCAUUGAUACUAUCUGUCUUGAAUACCCUGGAGGUGAGCGGAAUAUGUCAUGUAGCGGUGAAAUGCUUAGAUAUGACAUAGAACACCCAUUGCGAAGGCAGCUCACUACGGGAAUAUUGACACUGAGGCACGAAAGCGUGGGGAUCAAACAGG
rnacentral:rRNA from 1 species